rnacentral:rRNA from 1 species
CGCAAGCCUGACAGAGCAAUACCGCGUGAGGGAAGAAAGCCCACAGGGUUGUAAACCUCUUUUAUCAAGGAAGAAGUUCUGACGUUACUUGAUGAAUAAGCAUCGGCUAACUCCGUGCCAGCAGCCGCGGUAAUACGGAGGAGGCAAGCGUUAUCCGGAAUUAUUGGGCGUAAAGCGUCCGCAGGUGGCGAUUCAAGUCUGCUGUCAAAGCACGGGGCUUAACUCCGUAAAGGCAGUGGAAACUGAAUAGCUAGAGUGCCGUAGGGGUAGAGGGAAUUCCCGGUGUAGCGGUGAAAUGCGUAGAGAUCGGGAAGAACAUCGGUGGCGAAAGCGCUCUACUGGACGGCAACUGACACUCAGGGACGAAAGCUAGGGGAGCG